UGUGGAGGUGUUUGGGUGUGUUAACCCAGGUUAGCUCUCGAUCAAGGGUGGGGUUUGGGUGUGUUGACCCAAGCUCACGUGUCAGCGUGUGGGGGUAGGCCGGGGUUGAGUGAGAAAAGUCCAGAGUGGGAGGGUUCGGGAUAAUUAUUAGGAAGUAUAUGUGUAUUUUAGGAUUUAUUAUCCUUUCCUUGUACACUUGAUAUAUUCCUUGUACUCCAAGCCAUAUUUGCUAUAUAUAUAUAGGUCACCCUACCUCAUUAGGGUGUGUUGUGUUUUCCCAUCUACUUCUCUACAUGGUAUUAUGAGAUUAAGGUCAUGGGCCUCCUCUACCUAUGCCUUCCUCCUACUCCGCAUAACCCUAGGCAGCGUCCCCCCUACUACGCUGCCGCCACCAACCCUUUGCUGCACCUACCCGACCGGCUCCCCGACUGGUCCCCCGACCGCCCCUCCCCCCCGGGUCGUGCACCAUUGUGGCGGAACCGCCCAAAUUAACCCGACUAAAAUGCAUUGAAGUCGCCUGACACGCGAUUAUGCACUUUAAGCAAGUCAACUUGGUUGACCAUCGGAUUUCAUCCGAUUAACCACAUAAACAGGAUCGAGAAGCAUCGCUCACGCGAAGGUGAGUAGCACAGAGGUUACAACAUUCCAUUACGACAACUUAGUUCAACAUUUUAUUACAUCAGAGUUUUCGAAAUUCAGACCGGAAUUGC
rnacentral:lncRNA from 1 species